CCUCGCAUAAUUAUAAGAACAACUUAGAACGAAGCUCAGACGUUUAAUAGCAAUUAACAUUUCAAGUCUAUUCCUAGCACUCAAAUAUGUUAAGUAUUGUUGUUUAGGUCCGAACCCUAAAAAUACCUCCCGGUCAGAUUUAAGAUUCUCAAUUUGUCACGGAAAGUUAAAAGUAAAACAACAAUACCAAUAAUCAACCAAGA
rnacentral:lncRNA from 1 species